UCUCUUGCUAGUGUACCCCAGUUCUUAAAAUCCACUUUGGGGCUAAGGGUCCCUUAGGUGACAAUGCUGAAUCUCCCUUCACCCAAUGCUGCUUUGCAACUCCGGAGAGAGGGUCCCUAUGGGUCCCACUUGAGCUCCCAAGGCCCUGACAACCUGUCCCUUUGCCUUGCUGCUGUGCCUCCCUGGAAGUGCCAGCCCUGUGAGAGGGCACCUCCCCCAGGUUCAGCUUCCACUGGCAUCGGACAAGGGCAGAGUUGUCUGUGGCCUGUGCCUGGUGGUAGAGCUUGAGAUCUCUUCUCCAGAAGCCAGGGCUCCAGGCCCAGAAAGCUGGGCUGGGUCAAGAGACCACAGGGAAGGGCACAGGAUAAAACCCACAGACAGAAAGCACCCUCCAGUGUCCACCAGGCCGAGCUUCAGGAGCCAUGCGGCCCUCGGUACAGGCUGGGCAUCCUUUGCUUGUUCCAUUUCCCACUGUGGCCAGUGGCCUCCUUUUGUGAGGACAUUCUUUUCAGGAGGGACUGACAGCCAUGGAGACAGGGAGCAGGACUGAGCAGGGUGGGGUCCCUAGAGGCAGCUCAGACAGCGGGUUCAGACAGUGGGGCGGUGGGGGCUCCAGUUCCACCAUCCAGGUGAGGAAACCCAGGCUGAAGAGAGAGCGGGUAGCAUCUCCAGUGCUAUUCAGCCAGGAACCGAUGGCAAAGCAUUUGCUGUUUACCCCUCUCAGGCUGCCCCGUGCUGUCCAGCCACUUGUCCCCCUUCUCGGGUUCUGAAGUCCUCCUGUUUUGUGCCUGUCACCCCCACUGGAGCAGGGACCUUGACUCCCCCACUGCCACACAGGCAUCACACCCAGUAGGCCUUCAAUCAAUAUUCAUGGAAUGGAUGAGAUGGGAUUCAAGCCCGAGGUGUGUCUGCAGAGGAUCGAAAGUGCAUCCCUGCUCUGCCCAGCAGAGCAGACCUGGGGACCCACAGGGGCAGUGGAUGCCUACUAUGGACGCCUACAGUGACCAUGUGGAAAGUACCUAAGGACUGUGGGGAAAACUGGUGGGACUGUCACUCACUAAGCUUAUUUGCUCGUCCAAUUUGGGGAUCCUGAACUCCUACUGGACAAGCCUGGUGGGUUCACAGCUGCCCCAGACGGUUUCCUCUGCAACCUCAAAUCAGACUCUGCUCCUUAGCUGCCAACACCCAUCACUAAAGAAGGGCAGGCAGAAAGCCUAGGGGCAUCAUGAUGACAGGGGAAAGGAAAAUGGUAGCGAUGGUGGCCACCUGGCGAGGGCACUGACUCUUCUUCCUGUCUGUUCCCUGCUUGCUUUGCCCUGACACCUCCUCCUUCCUCCCCGCCGAGAUCACUGCAGUCCUCUCUUCACCUUAACAAGCUUGCUGCUUUUCUGAGGCCCUGCUAAGGCUGUGACUCUGAUCCCUACUGUCCUUAGAUUUUAUUUCCCUGGUCCCCUCCCCCACCUCCUUUCUGUUUGUCCCAGCCCCACCCCCAACUCCCUCUCCCCACCUCUUCCCAAUCCCUUCAUCCUGAUUCCUUUUCUAGGUUUUCUCUGGUUAAAUUAUCUUUUUAUUUUAUUUUUUUUGAGAUGGAGCCUCACUCUGUCUCCCAGGCCGGAGUGCAGUGGUGUGAUAUCAGCUCACUGCAACCUCUGCCUUCCAGGAUCAAGCCAUUCCCUUGCCUCAGCUUCCCAAGUAGCUGGGACUACAGGCAUGCACCACCACGCCCGGCUAAUUUUUGUAUUUUUGAUAGAAACAGGGUUUACCAUGUUGGCCAAGCUGGUCUCAAACUCCUGACCUCAGGUGAUCUGCCCGCCUCAGCCUCCCAAAGUGUUGGGAUUACAGACAUGAGCCACCACGCCCGGCCAAUUAUCUUUUAUAUACUUGCUAAUAUCUGUCUCCUUUCCCCCCAGACCUUGUUUUGUGCAACAUGGAAUGAUGAAAAUGUAGAAACAGAAAAGUCAGUCCCGGCCAUAGCCAGGACUCAGGUUUUGUGAACGGGUGUAGGGCAGGAGGAAGAGCGAACAAGCCAAACCAACACUGGGCCUAAAGCCUGAGCUAAGGGUCCCUCCCUUUCCUAUAACCCAAGAAUUCUUCCUGAAAAUGGUAGCCCCUGAGAACCAUGUAAAAGCAUCAAGGGGUAGAUGGCAGGGUCCUGAGAGCUGGUCUGGCUGUCCCUUGUCCCCAUUUUUCUUGAAGAAACCGAGCUCCAGAAAAGAGGUGGGGCCCGUGGGGCAUUUGGAAUACACUCCAAGUCUAAUUCCCAGACCAGCCACCCUGUUCCCAGAGGCUCCCUUCAUCUGUCCGCUUGGCCAAGGAAGGAUUGGGCAGCCCCAUGCCCCCUGCCUGGCCACAGACGACAAACAUCAGAAGGCUGUCCAUGUAGCCAGGGCCCUGGAACCAUGUGGAAAGGACCUAAGGAGCUGGAUCCUUUUAGCCCCAGGAAAAGCACAAGGGACCCAGCACCCUUCCAAAAUUUAAACCAAAUUCUGGCCUGAGCCGUUUUGCACCGUCUGUGCCCUAGAAGGCUGUGAACGCCUUCCUGUUUCCCCAUCUUUUGAGGCCCAGGGCUUCCUCAGAGCCUCCGUGGGUCCCACCCUGGCACCCCAUCCGACGGUGUCUGGGUUCUGCCUGCCUGGCUCAUACCCUCACCCCCACCUUGCUGUCCUAGUAGUGUCACCCCAUCUUCCAUCCUCACUUUUCCUGGUGUUUCCUUUCUAGCCCCUGUCCCUAUUGGGAAUUUUCUGCACUUAUAGACCAGUUUCCCUCGCCCCACCCCACCCGGGGGGCCAGCGUGCCUGUCUUCUGUGUCCCAGCACACCGAAUGAUUGAUUAUUCGUUCGUAUAAGUGAAACAGGAAGGUCCCUGAGGUGCUGGGAUUGGGAGCCCUUCACCCCAGGUGAGGAAGGAGCCUUGAGGAAGGGGAGAGGACCUGAGUUAGUGGCCUCUCCCCAAUCCGGGGGUCAACCCCGGGCCAAGUGGGCCACUGCGCCUUGGGGCUCCUGUCGCCUGUGCCCUUGGUGGGUGGCCCACAGGGAACGUGGCCACACUCGGUCAGCUGUGGUCCUGGGGCAGCCGCAUCCGGGCGGGCGGCACUUAGGAAGGACAAACUCCAAAACCCAGGCCUCCAAAGGACCCAUGGGAAGGUCGGGUGUGACCUCGCGGCUGGGCCAGCGCUUUGAGGCCCCUGGGGACCCAGCAGAGGGCCCGGGUGAGGCCUCUGGAGGCGCUAAGCGGAGCAGGAAUGGGACCCAAAGAGGCCGCCCGUCCUUGCGCAGCAGGGUGUGGAAGGAGGUGGCCCCGGGCGCCCGCUGGGGUCAGGCUCUGCCUGGGAGUCCCUGUCUCUGCUUCCCAGGCCAGGCUGGGUCUCUUUGUCCGGGCUGGGCGGGGCCGACGGCCGUUGGAAACCACGUUCCACCCCCAUAACCCCCUCCGCGCCUGGCCCCGCCCCGUCUCCAUGGAGACCCAAAGCCGAGGCCACCGCCUGUCAGGGGCUGCCCUGGAGCCCGGUGCCUGCCUGGUGCGUCCUCUCUGCCCCCCAGGGGCCGUGCUGUCCAGGCUGGCCCCGAUAGGAGACACCAGGAUGCCUGUCCACGCCUCCACUCCUGGGCCAUUCCCCGUGGGGCAGGCAGGUGGGGAGGGCGGGGUGAGAAUCUGUUAUAAUCAGGGAAGGGAACUGCCCCUAGGCCCGGAGUUUGGAGCCUGGGAUACUGUCACCCACAGCCGGGGACCUGCCCUAGAACCUUCCUGCCGCAGGGCUCUCCUCCCGAGAGGCUGUGAAUGUUUCCCUGGGGUGGGGCCAGAGCCCAGAGGUUUGCCCCUGGGGCACUCGCCUCCCACAGGCUGCAGUGAAGGAGGCUGUCAGGAGGGGAUGGCUGGCUCUUCUCCUCCUGCGAGGAUAGGAGCCCCAGGGAAGGCAUUCCUGCUCUGGGGGCAGCCUUUCUCCUCCACAUCACAGCCAGUCAUUGAAGAGGAUUGGCCAAGCUGACCACUCUGUCUGUGAUCUCUGUCAGAGAGGCCCAAAGAACAUCCAGCCCCACCUGUGGUCCCUUCCCACCUCAGGCUAUAUCACAAUAUCACUCCCCAUCUAGUUUUUCAUUUCCACAGGAAACUCCAGUAAAACAAUUCCUCAGCCUCGACCCCAGGAAACAGCCCCCGCUAAACCAGCUGACGUGGGACCCCUUGGGUCAAUGGCGGCCAAGAGACACGCUGCGGACACCAGAGACCCUUGGCACCUGUGCCCCCUACAACCCUGGUCAUGGUGACCAUGGGAUUCCAGGCAGCACACAUCUCAGAAUCAGUAUUUCCCCAGCAAAAAAUAUGUAUAUGAUUAUCCCAUGGCCACCUCCCUGAUCCUGGCCUAUGGACAAGUGCAGACGAGGAAGGAUUCCAUCAUUUAAGCACAGUUCCUUCCUCCUGGGGGUCCCAACUGUUCUUCCCCAUCUAACAAAGUCCACCUUCCCUGUGGAACCCUAGACGGCUCCAAGGAAGCCAGCUGUUGACACUUAAUUUUUGGCUGCCCGAGGAGAGUCAGAAGUCAGGGCGGAAGGCCCCAUUCCUGCCCCAGAACUCUUCCUGAAGUUUUAAUGUCUGUAAGUAGAUGAUGGCUUAGGGUCCCAGGAUUUUUUGUGGCGACCGCCUCUUAGCAAAUCCUUUUUGUGUCUGGUUCUUUAGAAUGUGGGGCUACAGCUCUUAGCUUUGGCCCCUCAGCAAAGACGGCACAACAGGAAAAGUCUCACGUGACCCUGUUUCACUUUAUGGGAAAUCACAUCCCUAGGAAGGAAGGAAUAAAAUGAGAGUCAAUGGAUAAUUCCUUGACAUGAUUUCAUCGGAGUGGCGACCAUGUCUGCUUCUCAAUCUGCUGGAAUGGGUAGUACACACACGCCUUGAAAUAUUCCCUCCACAAAGGUCGAGUCUGAAUCUAAUCAGGCUCUGGGGCUAAACACAAGUUUGUAAGAAAUUUGGAGAAGGAAGGAGUGCGUUAAAGGACACCACAAUUCAAAAUGCGGGACAACUGACCUAAUUUUUGUAAAUGGUCAAUGGUAAGAAUUAAAAGAAAGAAUGGGGCUGGGCGCGGUGGCUCAAGUCUGUAAUCCCAGCACUUUGGGAGGCCGAGGCGGGUGGAUCACGAGGUCAAGAGAUCGAGACCAUCCUGGUCAACCUGGUGAAACCCCGUCUCUACUAAAAAUACAGAAAAUUAGCUGGGCACGGUGGCGCGUGCCUGUAAUCCCAGCCACUCAGGAGGCUGAGGCAGGAGAAUUGCCUGAACCCAGGAGGCGGAGGUUGCGGUGAGCCGAGAUCGCACCAUUGCACUCCAGCCUGGGUAACAAGAGUGAAACUCUGUCUCAAAAAAAGAAAAAAAAAAAAAGAAUGGGAGGAGGAGUAUCAGGUUAAAAGAGAUAAGACAUAGCGAUCACAAGCAAUGAGCGGACCAACUCUAGAGACACAUGUUUUGAGGUAAUUGCGGAAAUCUGAAUGUAGGAUAGGUGUUAAAUGACACUAAAGAAGUAUUGUUAAUCUUGUUAGAUGUUAAUGACAUUGAUGUCAUUAACAUGUUGGAAAUGUCCAUGUCCUACAUAUUGAACUGCGCAGGGAUAAGCUGCUGUGUUGUUGGAGAGAUGCCACUGAAGCUUUGAUAAUGGUAAUAAUAAAAGACACAGAUGAUACAAUGUGGCAAAAGCCUUUAAUUGUCGAAUCUGAGUGACGAGUGUACUGAGCUUCAUUACACUGUUUGCCCUACUUUUCUGUGUGUUUGUAAUUUAGCUAUAAUUUAAAAAGAAUUAUAAUCAUAUCUAAAGGAAUCUCUCCGUUUUUGAAAAAGUAAAUAUACAUGUCCAUUUUCUUUGCUAAAGCAGAGACAAACAUUGUCAAUGUCCUGCUCUUCUAUAUGCAAGGGUCGGAGGAGAAAAGAAAAGCCCGUGACUGUUGGAUUCUUAUUUGAACAAAGAAUAUGAAGCCUGGGCCAUAUAGCGAGACCCUAUCUCUAAAAAAAAAAAAAAUUAGCCUGGCAUGGUGGCACAUGCCUGUAGUUCCAGCUACUUGAGAGGUUGAGCUGGGGGGAUUGUUUGAGUGCAGAAGGUCGAGGCUGUAGUGAGCCAUGAUCGCACCACUGCACUCCAGCCUGGGCAGCAGAGUGAGACAGUACACCCCCUGGACCCCCAAAAAGGAGUAUGAGAGUCAUAUGCCAUUUAUAUUAACAUGGAAAACAAACAGUUCAGAAGAGGUCCAUAAUUUGCAAAAUGCAGACAGUAAUGACAAUACUUUUCUGCUAGAAACAGCAAGUAUUUAAAGGAAGGCGCUUACCCUAACACUUUCAUAUAUUAAGUGGAAUCUGGUUGGCAUGAUGAUUCCUUUCAUGAAAAACGACAUGGUUUCCGUCCACUGGCAUAAGAGUAGAAUGGAAGUGUAUCGCUAAAUAACAGUUUAGGGUCCACACUUGGAUUAUCGGAGUCCGUUUUGGGAAGUAAAGUUCAGAGGAAAGCAAUACUAACGGUGAGAGAGCCCAGCGUCAUAUGUGAUCAGGAGGAGAGGUGAGAGAGCCCAGCGUCAUAUGUGAUCAGGAGGAGAGGUGAGAGAGCCCAACGUCAUAUGUGAUCAGGAGGAGAGGUGAGAGAGCCCAACGUCAUAUGUGAUCAGGAGGACAGGUGAGAGAGCCCGAGAGAGCCCAGCAUCAUAUGUGACCAGGAGGAAAGGUGAGAGAGCCCAGCGUCAUAUGUGAUCAGGAGGAGAGGUGAGAGAGCCCAGCGUCAUAUGUGAUCAGGAGGAGAGGUGAGAGAGCCCAACGUCAUAUGUGACCAGGAGGAAAGGUGAGAGAGCCCAACGUCAUAUGUGAUCAGGAGGAGAGGUGAGACAGCCCAACGUCAUAUGUGAUCAGGAGGAGAGGUGAGAGAGCCCAAAGUCAUAUGUGAUCAGGAGGAGAGGUGAGAGAGCCCAACGUCAUAUGUGAUCAGGAGGAGAGGUGAGAGAGCCCAACGUCAUAUGUGACCAGGAGGAAAGGUGAGAGAGCCCAAAGUCAUAUGUCAUCAGGAGGAACAGUCUCAAAGGCGUUAGAAAUCAUUAGCGUGGAGAAAAUAAAUCUCAGUGGCAGUAACAUAGCACACUGCAGGAGUGUGACAUACAAAAUACCAAAGAGACUGGAGAACACUACCUUAGUGGAAAUUAUAGGAAGGCUGAAUUCGGCUUUGUAUGAAUGUUAGGAAAGACAGUUGCCGAUAGGCCUUCAGCUUCCCAGAGCGUUUUUCCUGGGCAUACCAAGAAUGCAAACCUUUGACCUCUUUUUAAUACACCCAUUUUUCAAGAUUGUGUUUGCGGCAAGCAACCUGAAGGGAUAAGUUAAGGGCCAACUUUGGAAAAAGAGCCACGUUACUUUCUGCUUGUUAUAAAAGCAGUGGAUUCGCUAGACGCAGUAUUCCUAACCUGGAACCCAGAUCCGCUGUAUGCACAAGAUACACCUGGACCCCUCUGUGGUGCCCCACGGGACUUGGACAAGGAGAACUAACUCAAAUAUGAUGCUCACGCUGCUUGCUAAGCAUGAAUAAUGAAGUCUUUUGUCUCCUGUCUCCUGCCGACAUUUAUGAAACAGUGAUAGGCUAGUUUAUCAUCUUGUAAGUAUGGUGAGAUCGAUACAUCUCAUACCCAACAAUGGAGAACACAUCAGUUGGUAGAUUUCCUACCCAGAAUUGUUCACACAUGGACGCGUAAACUUCUUGGAGAAGAUAAUGCAUAAAUGUAGCCCCACCCCAAAAAGUUUCAGACAAGCAGUUUUUCUUGGACUUUCAGUGUCAUUUCAGUUCCGUAAAUUGUAGUAUUUUUUUUUUUUUUUUUAGGAAACACAAAUAGAAUUGGGCUUAUUUACAGAAUACCAGGACUCUUGGAGUAACCCCAUGAGAAGGAUAUUUCUGUACUUCUCUAAAAAUCCUGGGAAGUCUCUACAUGAAUAUGGCCUCAAUAUUCAUUUAAAUGACCAAAAUUCCAUCCCCUGUCUCCAUAUAUUUCCAUUCUAGUAAACCUUUAGUUGCUUUCAGAUAAAGGGAAAUCCAAGAUUGUUAUGCCAAAGAUGUAAUUCUCUUUAGACGUCCUGCCAGGGUUCUUAGUAUCCAGGGGAGUCAGAUGACCACAUCCAAGGCAUGUACUACAGCGUGGCGCAGUCUUGUUGGUCAUCUGGCUAAGGCAGUGUUUGCCAGAUUUUUCCACUGUCUAGUCUCUGCCCUGACAGCCCUCUUUCUGCCCUACUAGAAGUUAAGUAUCUCUGACUGAUCGUAUUGGAAAUUCAUGAUUUUUAUUAUAUUAAUGAGAAGUUAGUAUAUACAGUGGUGGUAAGCACACACGGUAUUUUUUUCCCGUUGCCAAAGCCUCUGGUAAUAUUUAUCAGAAUGGUUUGGAAAUGCGUAUUAGAGUCUAGUCUAGAAUUUCGAACGAGCGGUGUAAUUCAGCUUGGGAUUAUACACGAUGCAUGUGAUCAAGCAAAGAAUGCGAAGGAAACCUUCGCACGAGCCUGGUCAUAACCCCUUCCGUCUUCCCUCGUCCUCUUCCUCUGCAAAUGCAGGCGUGUCCACUGGGUGGCAGUAUGUACUCAAGAAUAUUGACUGUUUCUCGUGGCCUCAAUCUAAUGGAAUUUAAGCAUGCCAAACUUUUUAUCUGGAACACAGCCACGGUAGUGAAUCUUAAGAAACAGUAUCGUCUGAAUGUAAGCUCCUCCCUAGAAGAUGAUUAUGGCGGUUAUAAAAAGGUUAAUAUUGAGUACUUCCUACCAUUUACUCUCAGUCAUAUUCUUUGUUCUGCCAACAGUACUCAGUAUGAAAAUUGAUAAACACCUAUUAUCCUACCUUUUAUUUCUAUAACCUAUCUCUUAGCUCUGAGGAACUCACCUGGCAAUAGACUUUUCCUCUUCUCCAUUUUGUUUCUUAAAUAUCAUACCCGUUCCACAGCGAAAUUAAGAGAUAGACCAUAUGCACCCCUUUAGUUCUGCACUACGUCCUGGACAAUAGAGCAGAUUCUGGGCACUCACGGUCUUGUGAAGUCAUAUGUUCUCUUUCACUUAAAUUAAUUCUGUCUGAAAGACAGAAUGACACCAAUUAACUUGUUCUCUGUAAGAUUUGUCUUCAAUUAGGAGAGGGAAAACCUUCCAAGAAGUUAAAUUGUGUAAUCAGGUAGGAUUAAAACUAUGAGAAAAACUCACAAAAAUAUACAUAUUUUAAAAACUGAAAAUAAAAUACUAAUGUAGUUGUGUUAGAUGGUAGAAUUAUGAAAGCUUUUCUUUCCUUUUUCUACUUUCGUGUAGUUUCUCCUAUACUUUCUUUAAGGAACUACACCUUUUUUCAAAUAAAAAAUAUAUAACUGCGGUUAAACCAUCGUUUGUCUUUCUCCUGCCUCGAAGGAUUCAUGUUUUUAAAAUAUCCUUUCUAAUCUUUUUCUAUCUAAUUUUCCAAAAGAUAUUUAAUAAUAGUUUGACAUUUCCUUGCAUCUCCACAUGGCUCUGCUUUCUGCUGAGUGUGUUGGGUGAUUUGACUUAUUUUUAAAAAUAAACUUUUUACAGAGAGUUGCACAGAUAGUGCAGAGUUCCCAUACGCAAAACACUCAGUUUCAUUUCUUAGAAACAUCUUACAUUCGUUUGGAACAUUUGUUGCAAUUAAUGACCCAAUAUUGAUACAUUAUUUUUGACUAACGUCCAUACUUUAUUCAGAUUUCCUCUGUUUUCACCUAAUGUUCUUUUUCUGUUCUAGGGUCUCAUCCAGGAUAACUUGUUACAUUAUCUGUGGUAUCUCCUUAGGUUCUUCUUCAGACUUUACUUUUCAUGCCCUCUGCAGCUUUGAGGAGCAUUGUAUUAACAGAAUUUCCCUCCGUUGGGAUUUGCCUGAUGCUUCUCUCAUGAUUAGAAUGAGGAUCUGGAUUCGGGGAAGGAAGACGGCAGAGAUAAGUAAACUGAAACCCCAAUAUAAACUCAAGAACGUUAGAGCUGGCCGUGACCUGAGAGAGUUCGGUGAUCUCCUGGGACUCACUCCACAGUUAACGUGGAACUGGAUGCCAGCGGUCUUCACGUUCAGAUGAGAGCUUUUUUCACCACAGAACUUUGCUUUACUGAAUAAUGCAUUUACAUGUUCCACUCAUCCAUGUAUUCUGCAAAAACAAUUUUAAUAGCUCCUUCAUGCCUGACACCGUGCUCAAGUUUGUAAGUACAAAUUUUGAGUUUGCACCGCUGUAAAGAAUUGAAUAAAAAAAUUAGGCAAAUGGCCACCAGGUGGCGUCAAUCCUCAGCCUGGCAAGGACGUUUGUAGGUAAUUGGUAGUAACUAUUCCGUUUUGUUUUUCCUCUUUUUUUCCAACUCGAAUGGUGAGAACUGAUCUGAAUGUACAAUUCAGGCUUAUCAUUUUCCAUCAAGAUGUCACCAAUCUUCCAGUCUCCCAGGCAGAAGUCUUUGGGUUAUGUUUUGGUGAGUCACCCCUUAUUCAGACUGGCUACUUUCCUCCUCUUUAGCCCCUUUAUAAAAACCUUCAAUUUAGCAGUGACAGGGGGAAAAAAAACCCUUGGGAUGGUCUUAGCCUACUGCAAGUUUACUGCUGCUUCUGAGCCUUUGCUCCUGCUGUUCCAUUUCCCUGAAAUUCCUUCGAAACUCUUUCAUCGUUGACUCACCGAUGUUCAUUUGAGUGGCUGUGGCGAUGCUGAUAUAUGAAAUACCAAACGACAUACUCUCCUCCCAUGCCAAGGUCUGCCAUGUCCCUCCCUCCCCUUCUGACAGUGGGGAAGUUCUACCAGGUUAAAUGGGUAUAUGAUCAAAUGAUUGCUUUAUUAGGGGUAUUUACCGGGCAUCGUGGUGACUGAAGUAUCAGCCUUGCAGAGGUGAUCAAGAAAUAAAUGGGUUUUUGGUUUAGGUCUAAAGGUAAGUCAACUAGUUUCAAUGGAUACAGGGUCAAAUAUUGUCCUACGCAGUGACAUAAAAUGGCUUGGCACUUCAAGUCUGACCAUUUAGACUUUGAAACUGUAGAUAGGAAGAAGGUAUGAUGCAUAUAGGCAAGCAGCCAAGAUGAUUUUCAAAAGAAAGGCUGGAACCAGAUUAAAAGGGCCCUUGAAUGACUUGCAAAGAAAUUAGGACUUUAUUUUUUAGGCAUUAAGAACCAUUACAAGACACAGAAAGGGGAUGACAUAAACAGAUUUGCAUUUUUGAUCCUCUCUGGUGUAUGUGGCAUGUACUGGACAGAGGUGAGACCAGACACGUCCAACCAGUUGGGAAAUAACCAUAGAGUCUGGGUGGGUGCGGCUGUUAAGACCUGAACCAAGUGAAGUCUGUGCGGAAGGAGAGGCAGGAUGGAUCCGAGACAGUCAACAAUUUGGUGAGGAGUCAAACAUGGGAGUGAGCAGAAGGUGCUUUGUGACUGCCAAGUCCCUGGCUUAGGUCACUCAGUGAGGAGUGACGCCUUUAAUUAUACAGGAGGCUGAGUAGCUUUUAGGGGGCGGUUGUGGUCGUGGUGGUGGUGAAUGUUUUGAGUUUACUUUGAGAUGACUGAUGAUUAUUUGCCCUAAUCAACUUCAUACAUUAACAUGUAGGUUAGAAUGAAAGGUCUCAGUAAAGAAAAUUUUCUUACUACCAUUCGUCCAUCAGUCAAUACGUGAGCCAAAAGCGCCUCCUUCAUUUUGUUGUUAUACUUUAAGUUCCGGGGUAUAUGUGCAGAUCAUGCAAGUUUGUUACAUUAGGUAUACAUGUGCCGUGGUGACUUGCCUCAUCCAUCCCCCUGCCAUCUACAUUAGGUAUUUCUCCUAAUGUAAUCCUUCCCCAAUCCCUGCACCCCCUGCUAACCCUCCCCAAGCCCCCCAUCCCUGACGGACCCCAGUGUGUGAUGUUCCCCUCCCUAUGUCCAUGUGUUCUCAUUGUUCAACACCCACUUAUGAGUGAGAACAUGCUGUGUUUGGUUUUCUGUUCUUGUGUCAGUUUGCUGAGAAUGAUGGUUUCCAGCUUCAUCCAUAUCCCUGCAAAAGACAUGAACCCAUCUUUUUUAUGGCUGCAUAGUAUUCCAUGGUGUAUAUGUGCCACAUUUUCUUUAUCCAAUCUAUCAUUGAUGGGCAUUUGGGUUGGUUCCAAGUCUUUGCUAUUGUAAACAGUGCUGCAAUAAAUAUACAUACACAUGUGUCUUUAUAACUGAAUGCUUUAUAAUCCUUUGGGUAUAUACCCAGUAAUGGGAUUCUGUGUCAAAUGGUAUUGCUAGUUUUAGAUCCUUAAGGAAUUGUCACACUGUCUUCCACAAUGUUUGAGCUAAUUUACAUUCCCACCAACAGUGUAAAAGCAUUCGUAUUUCUCCACAUCCUCUCCAGUAUCUGUUGUCUCCCGAUUUUUUAAUAAUGGCUCUUCCAACUGGUGUGAGAUGGUAUCUCAAUGUGGUUUUGAUUUGCAUUUCUCUAACAACGAGUGAUAAUGAGCUUUUUUCCCUAUGUUUGUUGGCUGCAUAAAUGUCUUUUUUUGAGAAGUGUCUGUUCAUAUCUUUCACCCUCUUUUUAAUGGGGUUUUUGGUUUUCUUGUAAAUUUGUUUAAGUUUCUUGUAGAUUCUGGUUAUUAGCCCUUUGUCAGACAGGUAGAUUGCAAGAAUUUUUUCACAUUCUGUUGGUUGCCAGUUCACUCUAAUGAUAGUGUAGUUUGCUGUGCAGAGGGUCUGAAGUUUAAUUAGAUCCCAUUUGUCUGUUUUGGCUUUUGUUGCCAAUGCUUUUGGUGUUUUAGUCAUUAAGUCCUUGCCUAUGCCUAUGUCCUAAAGGGUAUUGCCUAGAUUUUCUUCUAGGGUUUUUAUGAUGUUGGGUCUUAUGUUUAAAUCUUUAAUCCAUCUGGAGUUAAUUUUUGUAUAAGGUGUGAGGAAGGGAUCCAGUUUCAGCUUUCUGUGCAUGGCUAGCCAGUUUUCCCAACACCAUUUAUUAAAUAGGGAAUACCUUCCCCAUUGCUUGUUUUUGUCAGGUUUGUCAAAGAUUAGAUGGUAGUAGAUAUGUGGUGUUACUUCCAAGGACUCUGUUCUGUUCCAUUGGUACAUCUCUGUUUUGGUACCUGUACCAUGCUGUUUUGAUUACUGUAGCCUUGUAGUAUAGUUUGAAGUCAGAUAGCAUGAUGCCUCCAGCUUUGUUCUUUUUGCUUAGGAUUGUCUUUGCUAUGUGGGCUCUCUUUUGGCUCCAUAUGAAGUUUGAGGUGGUUUUUUUCCAAUUCUGUGAGGAAAGUCAAUGGUGGCUUGAUGGGGAUAGCAUGGAAUCUAUAAAUUACUUUGGACAGUAUGGCCAUUUUCACAAUACUGAUUCUUCCUAACCAUGAACAUGGAAUGUUUCUCCAUCUGUUUGUGUUCUUUCUUAUUUCCCUGAGCAGUGGUUUGUAGUUCUCCUUGAAGAGGUUCCUUCACGUCCCUUGUUAAUUGUAUUCCUAGGCAUUUUAUUCUCUGUGUAGCAAUUGUGAAAGGGAGUUCACUCAUGAUUUGGAUCUCUGUUUGUCUGUUAUUGGUGUAUAGGAAUGCUUGUGAUUUUUGCAUAUUGAUUAUUUAUCCUGAGACUUUGCUGAAGUUGCUUAUCAGCUUAAGGAGCUUUUGGGCUGAGACGAUGGAGUCUUCUAAAUAUACCAUCAUGUUGUGUGCAAAUAGAGACAAUUUGAAUUCCUCUUUUCCUAACUGAAUAUCCUUUAUUUCUUUUUCUUGCCUGAUUGCCCUAACUAGAAGUUCCAAUACUAUGUUGAAUAGAAGUGGUGAGAGACGGUAUCCUUGUCUUGUGCCAGUUUUCAAAGGGAAUGCUUCCAGUUUUUGCCCAUUCAGUAUGAUAUUGUCUGUGGAUUUCUUGUAAAUAGCUUUUAUUAUUUUAAGAUACAUUCUAUCAAAACCUAGUUUAUUGAGAGUUUUUAGCACAAAGGGCUUAAAAUUGAAUUUUGUCAAAGGACUUCUCUGCAUCUAUUGAGAUAAUCACGUGGUUUUUGUCUUUGGUUCAGUUUAUGUGAUGAAUUAUGUUUAUAGAUUUGCAUAUUUUGAACCAGCCUUGCAUCCCAGGGAUGAAGCUGACUUGAUUGUGGUAAAUAGGCUUUUUAAUAUGCUUUUGGAUUUGGUUUGCCAGUAUUUUAUUGAAGAUUUUCACAUCAAUGUUCAUCAUGAAUAUUGGCCUGAAAUUUUCUUUUUUAGUUGUGUCUCUGUCAGGUUUUGGUAUCGGGAUGAUGUUUGUCUCGUAAAAUGAGUUAGGGAGGUUCCCGUCUUUUUGUAUUGCAUGGAAUAGUUUCAGAAGGAUGGUACCAGCUCCUCUUUGUACCUCUGGUAGAAUUCGGCUGUGAACCCGUCUGGUCCUGGACUUGCUUUGGUUCGUAGCUAUCAACUGCUGCCUCAACUUCGGGCCUUGUUAUUGGUUCAUUCAGGGAUUCAACUUCUUUCUGCCUUAGUCUUGGGAGGGUGUAAGCGCCCAGGAAUUUACCCACUUCUUCAUUUACUGGUUUAUGUGCAUAGAGGCGUGUGUAAUAAUCUCUGAUGGUAGUCUGUAUUUCUGUGGAACCAGUGAUAUCCCCGUUACCAUUUUUUAAUGCAUCUAUUCAAUUCUUCUCUCUCUUCUUUUUUAUUAAUCUGGCUAGCAGUCUAUCUAUUUUGUUGAUCUUUUAAAAAAAACCGGCUCCUGGAUUUAUUGAUUUUUUGAAGGGCUUUUUAUGUCUCCAUCUCCUUCAGUUCUGCUCUGAUCUUAGUUAUUUCUUGUCUUCUGCCAGCCUUCGAGUUUGUUUGAUCUUGAUCCUCUAGUUCUUUUAAUCAUGAUGUUAGGGUGUCAAUUUUAGAUCUUUCCUCACUUCUCAUGUGGGCAUUCAGUGCUAUACAUUUCCCUCUAGACACUGCUCUAAAUGUGUCCCAGAGAUUCUGGUAGAUUGUGUCUUCAUUCUCAUUGGUUUCAAAGAACAUCUUUAUUUCUGCCUUCAUUUAAUUAUUAUCCAGUUGUCAUUCAAGAGCCAUUUGUUCAGUUUCCAUGAAGUUGUGUGGUUCUAAGUUAGUUUCUUAAUCCUGAGUUCUAAUUUGAUUACACUAUGGUCUGAGAGACUGUUUGUUAUAAUAUUUGUUCUUUUGCAUUUGCUGAGGAGUGAUUUACUUCCAGUUAUGUGGUCAGUUUUAGAGUGGGUGUGAUGUGGUGCUGAGGAGAAUGUAUAUUCUGUGGAUUUGGGGUGGAGAGUUCUGUAAAUGUCUAUCAGGUUUGCUUGGUCCAGAUCUGAGUUCGAGUCCUGGAUAUCUUUGUUAAUUUUCUGUCUCAUUGAUCUCUCUAAUAUUGACAGUGGAGUGUUAAAGUCUCCCACUAUUGUGUGGGACUCUAAGUCUCUUUGCAGGUCAUUAAGAACUUGCCUUAUGUAUCUGGUGCUCCUGUAUUGGGUCCGUAUAUAUUUAGGAUCAUUAGCACUUCUUGUUGCAUUGAUCCCUUUACCAUUAUGUAAUGCCCUUCUUUGUCUCUUUUGAUCUUUGUUGGUUUAAAGUCUGUUUAUCAGAGAUGGGAAUUGCAACCCCUGCUUUCUUUUGCUCUCCAUUUGCUUGUUAAAUAUCCCUCCAUCCUUUUAUUUUGAGAUUAUGUGUGUCUUUGCAAGUGAGAAGGGUCUCCUGAAUACAGCACACCAAUGGGUCUUGACUCUUUAUCCAAUUUGCCAGUCUGUGUCUUUUAUUUGGGGCAUUUAGCCCAUUUACAUUUAAGGUUAAUACUGUUAUGUGUGAAUGUGAUCCUCCCAUUUUGAUGCUAGCUGGCUGUUUUGUCCAUUAAUUGAUGCAGUUUCUUCAUAGUGUCAGUGGUUUUUACAAUUCGAUAUGCUUCUGCGGUGGCUGGUACUAGUUAUUCCUUUCCAUGUUUAGUGCUUCCUUCAGGAGCUCUUGUAAGGCAGGCCGGGUGGUGAUGAAAUCUCUCAGCAGCUGCUUAUCUGUAAAGGAUUUUAUUUCCCCUUCACUUAUGAAGCUUCGUUUAACUGGAUAUGAAAUUCUAGUUUGAAAAUUCUUUUCUUUAAGGAUGUUGAAUAUUGGUCCCCACUCUCUUCUGGCUUGUAGAGUUUCUGCCGAGAGAUCUGCUGUGAGUCUGAUGGGCUUCCCUUUGUGGGUGACCCGACCUUUCUCUCUGGCUGCCUUUAGCCUUGUUUCCCUCAUUUCAAACCCGGUGAAUCUGACAAUUUUGUGCCUUGGGGUUGCUCUUUUUGAGAAAUAUCUUUGCGGUGUUCUCUGUGUUUCCUGAAUUCCUGAAGAGUGAUUUUCAACUUGGUUUCGUUCUCCCCAUCACAUUCAGGUACACGGAUCAAACACAGAUUUGGUCUUUUCAAAUAAUCCCAUAUUCCUUGGAGGCUUUGUUCAUUUCUUUUCCCUCUUUUCCCUCUAAUCUUGGCUUCCAGCUUUAUUUCACUGAGUUGAUCUUCGGUGUCUAAUAUCCUUUCUUGCACUUUACCGAUUUGGCUAUUGAAACUUGUGGAUGCUUCACAAAGUUCUCAUGACGUGUUUUUCAGCUCCAUCGAGUCGUUUAUGUUCUUCUCUACGCUGGUCAUUCAAGUUAGCGUUUUGUCCAACCUUUUUUCAAGAUUCUCAGUUUCCUUGCAUUGGGUUAGAACAUGCUCCUUUAGCUCAGAGAAGUUUGUUAUUACCCACCUUCUGAAGCCUGCUUCCGUCAAUUCAUCAAACUCAUUCUCUACCCAGUUUUGUUCCCUUGAUGGUGAGGAGUUGUGAUUCCUUGGAGGAGGAGAGAUGUUCUGGUUUUUGGCAAUUUCAGCCUUUCUGCGCUGGUUUCUUCCCAUCUUCAUAGAUUUAACUUUGAAGUUGUUGACUUUUGGAUGGGGUCUCUGAGUGGACGUCCUUCCUGUGGAUGUUGAAGCUAUUUCUUUCUGUUUUUUAGUUUUCCUUGAAAGAGGCCGCACUGCUGCAGGUCUGCUGGAGGUCCACCCCAGACCCUGCUUGCCUGGGAAUCACCCACAGGGGCUGAACAACAAAGAUUGCUGCCUCUUACUUUCUCUGGUAGCUUCACCCAGAAGGGUACCUGCCAGAUGUCAGCCAGAGCUCUCCUGUAUGCGUGACUCCCAGUCAGGAUAAACUCGAACAGGCAGUCAGUCCCUUAUCAGAGCUCGAGUGCUGUGCUGGGAGCUCCAUUGGUCCCUUCAGAGCUGCUGGGCAGGGAUGUUUAAGUCUGCUGAAGCGGGACACAUACUGCCCCUUUUCCCAGGUGCUCUGUCCUGGGAAGGUGGAGGCUUUAUUUAUAAGUCCCUGACAGGCUGCUGCCUUUUUGCAGAGCUGCCCUGCCCAGCUAGAAGGGAGUCUGGUCACAAUCUGCCUGCAGAGUCUUUGCUGAGCUGCCGUGGGCUCCACCUAGUUGCUGUGCAAACUUCCUGGACUUUGUUUACACAGGCCAGUUUAGAACCACCUACCCGAGCCUCAGUAAUGGCAGACGCCCUUUCUCCCACUGGCUUGAACACCCUCCGUUGAGCUCAGACUGUGCUAGAUGUGCAACAGCUCCCCCAAACAGAGCUAUAGCUAACAGGGUACCUCCCAAGUGCUCAGGACAGGCCCGAGCAAGAUUCUGUGGAUUGUGGUGGAAUUACAUUAACACAGCAUCAUCCCCCUUUUCCAGAGGAAGAGACCGAGGGCCAGCCCUGACAAGAGUGUUCCUGGAAGCCGAGCUCUUCUCUAUAGAGGACAGAGCAGGCAGCAGAGACCAUGAGGCCCCCCCUCAGCACCUUCCCACAGAUGGCGCAUCCCCUGGCAGAGGCUCCUGC